rnacentral:rRNA from 1 species
CCUACGGGUGGCAGCAGUGAGGAAUAUUGGUCAAUGGACGAGAGUCUGAACCAGCCAAGUAGCGUGAAGGAUGACUGCCCUAUGGGUUGUAAACUUCUUUUAUAAAGGAAUAAAACGAGGCACGUGUGCCUUUUUGCAUGUACUUUAUGAAUAAGGAUCGGCUAACUCCGUGCCAGCAGCCGCGGUAAUACGGAGGAUCCGAGCGUUAUCCGGAUUUAUUGGGUUUAAAGGGAGCGUAGAUGGGUUGGUAAGUCAGUUGUGAAAGUUUGCGGCUCAACCGUAAAAUUGCAAUUGAUAAUGGCAGUCGUGAGUACAGUUGAGGUAGGCGGAAUUCGUGGUGGAGCGGUGAAAUGCUUAGAUAUCACGAAGAACCCCGAUUGCGAAGGCAGCUUACUAAACUGUGACUGACAUUGAUGCUCGAAAGUGUGGGUAUCAAACAGGAUUAGAUACCCUUGUAGUC